rnacentral:rRNA from 1 species
GGCUUAACACAUGCAAGUCGAGCGUGAAGCCACCUUCGGGCGGUGGAAAGCGGCGGACGGGUGAGUAACGCGUGGGAACCUACCCUUUGGUUCGGAAUAACUUGGGGAAACUUAAGCUAAUACCGGAUACGCCCCGUAAGGGGGAAAGAUUUAUUGCCGAGGGAUGGGCCCGCGUUGGAUUAGGUAGUUGGUAGGGUAACGGCCUACCAAGCCUACGAUCCAUAGCUGUUCUUAGAGGAAGACCAGCCACACUGGGACUGAGACACGGCCCAGACUCCUACGGGAGGCAGCAGUGGGGAAUCUUGGACAAUGGGGGAAACCCUGAUCCAGCCAUGCCGCGUGAAUGAAGAAGGCCUUAGGGUUGUAAAAUUC